GUGAGUUGCAUGCUCCAGUUCCUAUGGCUUUUUAGGUUUUAUCACCCAUACUCACCGGCUUUUAUAUCUAAUUCUCCUGUCUGCACCAAUUCAUCUCACACCUCUAAAUUUUAAGAUACCAUAGACUAGAAAGCUAAUAUAAUCAAGUUUGUUAGAAAUAUUUAUGGCAGAGGUUGGACAUGAUUACACACACUCAUAGUCCCAGUUACUCCAGAGGCAAGAGGAUCUCUUGGGCUCAGGGGCUCAAGACCAGCCUAAGCAACAAUGAGACUCCAUCUCUGGUUCUAAUCAACAUCAGAAAACGAUGCCAUAGAAAUAACAUUAUCACUUCAAUUUGCACUCAAUUCUUUUUUGUUUUUUGUAGAGAUAGGGUCUCACUGUGUUGCCCAGGUUGGUCUCAAACUCCUGGCCCCAAGCAAUCCUCCUGCCUUGGCCUCCCAAAGUGGUGGGGAUUACAGGCGUGAGCCAAGACGCCUGGCCUCAAAUCUUAAAACCCAGCCUAGUUUAGUGAGAAUUAAAAUCCUCCCCACUUUAAGGUUUUCUGUGACUCAGUACAAAUCAGAAAGUUAUGAAUCAUAUUAUAUUCACUUAAUAAUUUGAAGAUAUUUUAAAUUACAUCAUGCUACAUUUCUAGCAAGUCACAUGCAUAACAUGCAAUGUGAUAUUCAUAUUCAAUCAAAAUGUGCCCUCUGCUUUUAUAAUAGUACAUUAUACACACUAUACAUUUUAUAGUAUAGCAAUAAUAGAGAUAAAAUAUUAGAAAACAGGCAUCACAAGGAUUUAGACAAUUAAGGUAAGCUCAGAGUGACUUUUAAUAUGCCAAUCAAUGUUAAUAAAACACAAGUCAAAGACAAGUGCAAAC
rnacentral:lncRNA from 1 species